rnacentral:misc_RNA from 1 species
UUCGAGCGUCAUUGCAAACCCUCAAGCCCUGGCUUGGUAUUGAGCGCGGCGGGUCACCGCCGGCUUUAAAGACAGUGGCGGCGCCUCCGGGCCCUCAGCGUAGUAAUUCUCCUCGCUGCUGGGUCCCGGCGGACGCUGGCCAGCAACCUCUAUCUUCUUAGUUUGACCUCGGAUCAGGUAGGGAUACCCGCUGAACUUAA